rnacentral:tRNA from 2 species
GGAGAGAUGGCCGAGUGGCUGAAGGCGCACGCUUGGAAAGCGUGUAUACUCGAAAGGGUAUCCAGGGUUCGAAUCCCUGUCUCUCCGCCA